ensembl:lncRNA
GAGUAAACGCUAUGGAAUCAGUUCCAAUCCUUUUGAGAUGGGUUAGAAGAGACUAUACUUGCUGAAGAUCUGGCCACAGAGAAAAUCAAAACCAAGAACAGAGAGAUAAAGGAAUUCCUUUACAGCAUAAAGAGAACAGGUGCCUGAGGACAUUUCAGAUAUGUAUCUGAUCAUCGUGAGCAGUAUGUGCUGCUUAAACAAAAGGUUUCCUCCCCUCAUAUAAAACACAAAAAGAGAACUCAGACACCACCCGGGGUGUGCGGCUGGAGCAGAAGCUCCUUUGUGAGGCUGUGUUAUAGGUGUGUUCAUCGCAUUGACCGAGUCUUUGUCUUGUGUGUCACUAUGUCAUUUUUAUUGCCUGUGAGUGUGUCAUUAAAGCCUGUGUGCCAGAUAUAAGUUACAUUCUGUCAGUCUAUUAAGCUGUUUGAACGGCUGACCCUUCUGAUUUGUGUGAAGUCAUCUGAGAUGAACUGCGUAUGGCUUCAUUCUUAGGAGACGGAGCAGAACGGGGGUGAAGCGGAGGCAUUAAGUGUGGCAGACGCCCCUUUGUGUGUCGGUCACAAUGCUGAAGUGAAAGAAGGCAGGAUGCUUAACAUGCAAAUGAGACGAGAGAGAAGGGGAGGUCAGGGAAAUCACUCAAUGUCACAUUAACAAGUGCUCGUUCCAUGAUGGGGUAUUAAAUGCUGAGUGUGAGAGUACUGCAGCUGCAUCUCGUUCUGUGGCAUUUACUUCUGCCAAUUCAGAAUGAUCCCAAAGAGAUCAGUUCAGAUGAAGAAAAAAAAAAAAAUGUAUAUCACUGAUUGAUUAUUUUAUCCCAUUGACACAUGGCAUGUGAUCAUCCAUCAACUGUUUGACCUUGUGAAUGCAAAUGAACUAUAAGGAGUGGCAGAAAUUACCUCACUAUCUCACCAGUCGAUUUUGUAGGUGCUUAGAAUGGCAUACUGUACUGCCAUAUUGAAAUAUAAUAAAAUAAAUCCAUUUGUAUGGUUUAAAUAUUUU